rnacentral:rRNA from 1 species
GAAAGGGAAACGAUUGAAGUCAGUCGUACCUGCGGGUAAUCAGCCUUUUGGGCAUGAUUCUGUGGAGCGUGAGGAGUUAAACGCCUUCAUGCCUGCAUAUUCGUGUACUUUGGGUGUACUUGCCUGUGUGGUUAGUUAACAUCAAUUUUGGUUAUCAUAAAAUGGCUGGAGGAAUGUAGCUUCGAUUUCGAUUGAAGUGUUAUAGCCUUCGGCAGAUGUGAUGAUCGGGAUUGAGGAUUGCAACGGAUACCCUUCGGGGCUACCUGUCUGAUCUCUGAUCGUUGCUCUGGUGCCGAAAGCGUGCUUACGGUUAUCAAAGUCGAUGGUCAACAGGUUAGAACGGGUUAAAUUCGUUAAGGAUGUUGACGUA